GACGAACGCUGGCGGCGUGCUUAACACAUGCAAGUCGAACGGAAAGGCCCUGCUUUUGUGGGGUGCUCGAGUGGCGAACGGGUGAGUAACACGUGAGUAACCUGCCCUUGACUUUGGGAUAACUUCAGGAAACUGGGGCUAAUACCGGAUAGGAGCUCCUGCUGCAUGGUGGGGGUUGGAAAGUUUCGGCGGUUGGGGAUGGACUCGCGGCUUAUCAGCUUGUUGGUGGGGUAGUGGCUUACCAAGGCUUUGACGGGUAGCCGGCCUGAGAGGGUGACCGGCCACAUUGGGACUGGGAUACGGCCCAGACUCCUACGGGAGGCGGAAGUGGGGAAUAUUGCACAAUGGGCGGAAGCCUGAUGCAGCAACGCCGCGUGCGGGAUGACGGCCUUCGGGUUGUAAACCGCUUUAGCCUGUGACGAAGCGUGAGUGACGGUAAUGGGUAAAGAAGCACCGGCUAACUACGUG
rnacentral:rRNA from 1 species